rnacentral:rRNA from 1 species
CCCUUAGAUGUCCUGGGCCGCACGCGCGUUACACUGAUGCAUUCAACGAGCUUAUAACCUUGGCCGAGAGGCCUGGGCAAUCUUGUUAACGUGCAUCGUGAUAGGGAUAGAUUAUUGAAAUUAUUAAUCUUGAACGAGGAAUUCCUAGUAAACGCAGAUCAUCAAUCUGCGUCGAUUACGUCCCUGCCCUUUGUACACACCGCCCGUCGCUCCUACCGAUUGGGUGUGCUGGUGAAAUGUUCGGAUCGGCCGUUUGUCGCGGUUUCCGCGUCAUGUGGCUGAGAAGUUCAUUAAACCCUCCCACCUAGAGGAAGGAGAAGUCGUAACA